rnacentral:lncRNA from 1 species
GCUCAGAGAAACACCCAUAGCGACAGUGUCUAGGGUCCUACUGGAUGUUGUCCUUCAACUGUCCUGGAAGAUCCAGCCUGUUAGGAGAGUCCCCUAUCUGUUCCCUGCCUCUCGAGAAUCGACUGUGUCCCAUCUUCUUGGUCAGCUUUCCCUGAUCUCAAGCACACAAAUAGAGUAGGGGGCUGGCAGACAGUGACGCGGGUAGAGUCUGGGGGCUACUUUUGAUGGGAAAGGUUUCUCUCCGGAGGUCCUGUGCAAGCUGACAUGAGAAGGAUGAGAAGGAGCCAGCUUUCCAAGGUCUCCAGAGAAAGUAUGCCACAUGGGGACAAAAGCCAGUGCAAAGUCCCUGGGGUGUGAAUGAGCGGAGGAAGAAGAAUCCAUGCCUAUGUGGCCAAAGACGAAUCCUGCCUCACAGUCUUUGACUCUUUUGACUUCCCCUGUCGUGCCUCCUGCAGACUCUUCUUGCUUCCCUGGGAGAAUGGGUGGCAAAAAGUGCCUUCCUUAGCCAUGCUUCCUUGUCAGCAUGGUGCCUGGCAGGU